rnacentral:rRNA from 1 species
GACGAACGCUGGCGGCGUGCUUAACACAUGCAAGUCGAACGGAAAGGCCCUGCUUUUGUGGGGUGCUCGAGUGGCGAACGGGUGAGUAACACGUGAGUAACCUGCCCUUGACUUUGGGAUAACUUCAGGAAACUGGGGCUAAUACCGGAUAGGAGCUCCUGCUGCAUGGUGGGGGUUGGAAAGUUUCGGCGGUUGGGGAUGGACUCGCGGCUUAUCAGCUUGUUGGUGGGGUAGUGGCUUACCAAGGCUUUGACGGGUAGCCGGCCUGAGAGGGUGACCGGCCACAUUGGGACUGAGAUACGGCCCAGACUCCUACGGGAGGCAGCAGUGGGGAAUAUUGCACAAUGGGCGGAAGCCUGAUGCAGCAACGCCGCGUGCGGGAUGACGGCCUUCGGGUUGUAAACCGCUUUCGCCUGUGACGAAGCGUGAGUGACGGUAAUGGGUAAAGAAGCACCGGCUAACUACGUGCCAGUAGCCGCGGUGAUACGUAGGGUGCGAGCGUUGUCCGGAUUUAUUGGGCGUAAAGGGCUCGUAGGUGGUUGAUCGCGUCGGAAGUGUAAUCUUGGGGCUUAACCCUGAGCGUGCUUUCGAUACGGGUUGACUUGAGGAAGGUAGGGGAGAAUGGAAUUCCUGGUGGAGCGGUGGAAUGCGCAGAUAUCAGGAGGAACACCAGUGGCGAAGGCGGUUCUCUGGGCCUUUCCUGACGCUGAGGAGCGAAAGCGUGGGGAGCGAACAGGCUUAGAUACCCUGGUAGUCCACGCUGUAAACGGUGGGUACUAGGUGUGGGGCCCAUUCCACGGGUUCCGUGCCGUAGCUAACGCUUUAAGUACCCCGCCUGGGGAGUACGGCCGCAAGGCUAAAACUCAAAGGAAUUGACGGGGCCCCGCACAAGCGGCGGAGCAUGCGGAUUAAUUCGAUGCAACGCGUAGAACCUUACCUGGGUUUGACAUGGAUCGGGAGUGCUCAGAGAUGGGUGUGCCUCUUUUGGGGUCGGUUCACAGGUGGUGCAUGGCUGUCGUCAGCUCGUGUCGUGAGAUGUUGGGUUAAGUCCCGCAACGAGCGCAACCCUUGUUCACUGUUGCCAGCACGUUAUGGUGGGGACUCAGUGGAGACCGCCGGGGUCAACUCGGAGGAAGGUGGGGAUGACGUCAAGUCAUCAUGCCCCUUAUGUCCAGGGCUUCACGCAUGCUACAAUGGCUGGUACAGAGAGUGGCGAGCCUGUGAGGGUGAGCGAAUCUCGGAAAGCCGGUCUCAGUUCGGAUUGGGGUCUGCAACUCGACCUCAUGAAGUCGGAGUCGCUAGUAAUCGCAGAUCAGCAACGCUGCGGUGAAUACGUUCCCGGGGCU